AUAGUCUUCAUCAAGAUCCUUAUUAUUUCUUGCUAUUUGUGAACCUCCCUGCUUUCAAGUCCUCUUCAAUUGUUUCUUCAGGCCAGACAUUCCAUAUGAGAAGGACUGAGAGUUCAAGAUAUUGUAUUUUCUACGGAUUGAAGAUUUGUGGCAACCCUAUAUCCAGCAAGACCGUUGGUGCCAUUUUUCCAACAGCGUGUGCUUACUUCAUGUCUCUGUGUCACAUUUUGAUAAUUCUCACAAUAUUUCAAACUUUUUCAUUAUCAUAUCUGCUGUAGUGAUCUGUGUUCAGUGAUCUUUAAUGCUACCAUUGUAAUUAUUUUCGGGCACCACGAACUGUGCCUUUGUAUUCCCUGAGACAGAACAGUAUUAAAAUUAGGCUAAUGAGUAACUUUACGAUGGCCUCUAACUGUUCAAGUGAAAGGAAGAGGCUCAUGUCUCUCACUUUAAAUCAAAAGCUAGAAGUGAUUAAGCUUAGUGAGAAAGGCAUGUCAAAAGCCAAGGCAGGCUGAAAGCUAUGCCUCUUGCACCACACAGCCAAGUUGUGAAUGCAAAUGAAACAUUAUUGAAAGAAUUUAAAAGUGCUACUCCAAUGAACACACGACUGAUCAGAAAGCAAAACAGCCUUAUUGCUGAUAUGGAGAAAGUAUGAGUGGCUGGGAUAGAAGAUUAAACCAGCCAUAAUGUUCCUUAAGCCAAAGCCUAAUCUGGAGAAAGACUCGAACUCUCUUCAAUUUAAUGAGGCUGAGAGGGGUGAGGAAGCUGCACAAGAAAAGUUUGAGGCUAACAGAGAUUAGUUAAUGAGUUGUUUCCGUAACAUGAAAGUGCAAGAUGAAGCAGCAAAUGCUAAUGUAGAAGCUGCAGCAAGUUAUCCAGAAGAUCUGGCUAAGAUCAUUGGUGAAGGUGGCUUCACUAAAAAAUAGAUUUUCAGUACAAACCAAACAGCCCUCUAUUGGAAGAAGAUGCUCUCUAGAAAUUUUACAGCUAGAGAGGAGAAGUCAAUGUCUGACUUCGAAGCUUCAAAAAAUAGGCUGAUUCUCUUGUUAAGGUAUAAUGCAGCUGGUGACCUUAAGUUGAUGCUUAAAUGCUCAUUUAUCAUUCUGAAUAUCCUAGGACCCUUAAUAAUUAUGCUAAAUCUACUCUGCCUAUGCUGUAUAAAUGGAACAACAAGACCUGGAUGAUAGCAUAUCUGUUUAUAGUAUGGUUUGUUGCAUAUUUUAAUCCCACUAUUGAUACCUACUGCUCAGAAAAAAGGAUUCUUUACAAAAUGUUGCUGCUCAUUGACAAUAUACCUGUUCACUCAAGAGCUCCGAUGGAGAUGCACAGGAGAUUAAUGUUUUUAUGCCUGCAAAGACAACAUUCAUUAUGUAGUCUAUGGAUCAAGGAGAAAUUUUGACUUUCAAAUAUUAUUAUUUAAUAAAUACAUUUUGUAAGGCUACAGCUGCCAUAGUGAUUCCUCUGAUGAAUCUGGGCAAACUAAAUGGAAAAGCUUCUGGAAAGGAUUCACCAUUCCAGAUGCCAUUGAGAACAUUCAUAAUCGAGGCUAGGAGGUGAAAAUAUCAAUGUUAACAUGAGUUUGGAAGAAGUUAAUUCCAAUCUUUAUGGAUGAGUUUGAGGGAUUCAAGACUUCUUUGGGAGAAGUAACCACAGAUGUAGUGGAAACAGCAAGAAAACUAGAAGGGUAGCCUAAAGAUGUGACUGAAUUGCUGCAAUCUCAUGGUCAAACUGUAAUGAGUGAGGAGUUGCUUCUUACAUAUGAGCAAAGAAAGUGGUUUCUUGAGAUAGAAUCUAUUCCUGGUGAAGAUUCUGUGAACAAUGUUGAAAUAAUGGCAAAGUAUUUCAAAUAUUACAUAAACUUAGUUGAUAAAGCAGUGGCAGGAUUUGAGAGGAUUGACUCCAGUUUCAAAAGAAGUAAAAGAAGUUGUGCUGUAAAUAAAAUGCAAUCAAACAGCAUUGCGUACCACAGAUAAAUCUUUCAUGAAAGGAUGAGUCAAUUGAUGCCGCAAACUUCAUAGUUGUCUUAUUGCAAGAAAUUGCCAUAGCCUUCCCAACCUUCAGCAACCACCAGCCUGAUCAGUUAGCAGUCAUCAACAAUGAGGCAAGACCCUCCACCAGCAAAAGGUUAUGACUUGCUGAAGGCUCAGAUGAUCAUUACCAUUUUUUAGCAAUAAAGUAAUUUUAAAUUAAGGUAUACACAUUGUUUUUUAAAGACAUAAUGCUAUUGCACACUUAAUAGACUACUAUAUAGUAUAAACAUAACUUUUAUACACACUGCAAAACCAAAAAAUUCAUGUGACUUGCUUUGUUACAAUAUUUGUUUUACUGUGGUGGUCUGGAACCAAACCUGCAAUAUGCCUGAGGUAUAGCUAUAUUUACACCACGGAAACUGGAAAAUGCAAUUUCCAAACUAGGGCUUUUUUCUUCCCCGGGAAAGGUGAUUGUGAAAUAUUUAGCAGUAUAUCACUGCAAAUGAUAGUUCAGUCUCAUAUCUCCUUUGGGAAGGAGGAGGUCUAAUAGUGUAUGAAAUUUUCUAAACAUAGGAAUUCUGUUUAAAAUAUGCUAUGCAGCUACCAACAGCCAUUGAUUGCAAGGUUUCCUCCACUUCACUCCCUUGUCAAAGUAUCUUUUGAUGCCUGAUAAUGCAGUGAGAUAGAACUGCAAAUGUACUUUAGGUUAUAGCCAGAAUUUACAGCCUUGUUUCCCCUCUAUUGGACAUUGUUCCAAGCAACACUGUUUUCCCGGAAAUACUGCAGACUGUUUAUUUAAGGACAAAAGGGGACCAUGUGGCUUUUUGAAAUGUCACUGUCAAGCACUGGGCCAUGACAAUUCUGACCAAGUAUGGCAGUGUUCUAGUAUUAGGUCUCCAGGAAUUAUUCCCAGGAGGCGAGUAGUCUUCAAAGAUAAAAUGAUGGUGCAGAUGGUCACACAGCACGUAUGAGAGAGAUAUACCAAGAGAGACAC
rnacentral:lncRNA from 1 species